GCGCUCUAUGGUUAACACUGCGCUCUAUGGUUAACACUGCGCUCUACAGGUAACACUGCGCUCUACAGGUAACACUGCGCUCUACAGGUAACACUGCGCUCUACAGGUAACACUGCGCUCUACAGGUAACACUGCGCUCUACAGGUAACACUGCGCUCUACAGGUAACACUGCGCUCUACAGGUAACACUGCGCUCUACAGGUAACACUGCGCUCUACAGGUAACACUGCGCUCUACAGGUAACACUGCGCUCUACAGGUAACACUGCGCUCUACAGGUAACACUGCGCUCUACAGGUAACACUGCGCUCUACAGGUAACACUGCGCUCUACAGUUAACACUGCGCUCUACGGUUAACACUGCGCUCUACGGUUAACA